GAAUUGAGAUUUAUUGUUAUUAUUAUUAUUAGUAGUCAAAGUGGUAGCGUUGAGUGCUAGUGAAGAAGGUGCCAUGAUGAUGGAGAUUUUGGUGGUCUCAAGUGGAAGAAAGAAAUGAAAUAAUGUGUUUAUGUGAAGAAGGCUAAGAAAGAAAGAAAAGAAAAAGAGAUUGGAAGUGGAGAGAGAGUUUGGGGGGAGAGAAAUGGAAGGGAGAAUUGGGUAUAAAUAGAGUGAGGGAGGUGAAAAAAGAAAAGUGUUAAUUUCAUUUAUUUUUUGUUUUUAUUUAUUUAGGGAGGUCCACCUUAGACAUGCAAAGGAAGAGCACGUGGUGGAUUUGUGGAUUUGUUUGUGGCUUCCAAAUUUGUACGUGGGUGUGGGGGCAAUGGCAUUUGGUUUGGAAUUUGCUACUGUUGCCGAUUGCGACACUGAUACCUCAAUGUAUAGGAGAGACACAAUGCUUGGUUAAGAGUAUUAUUACUCCUGUAAACUCAACAAAUU
rnacentral:lncRNA from 1 species